GGCGUUUCUAGGAAGGGUUUUGAAUUGAUUAUGGUUUCCAUUUCUCUGGAUAUAGACAGGAGUUAUGUGGGGACUAUGCUCGUGUUCACUAGCGGGUUUGACAUGUGGAGAUGAGCGACACCAGGAAGAGGAGGGCUGAUUCAAGGGCAUCACCACCACCUAAGCGACCAAGACGUGAACCGCAGAUUACUACAAGAAGCUCAGGACCAGUGACCCGCCCGAGAUGCCGUGAUUGUUCAGACGCCUGUAAAAAAGCAAAACGUCACAUUAAAGAGAGCAACUUCUUGUGUAUCGACAUCCCCGUGUGUCUGUUGUAUGAACGAAUACCUAACACAAGCCAGGGAGUCAUUCUCUCGAAGGAACAACGUGUGAACAAGAAGAAACAACUUCAGAGUGAGUUUCUUGAAAAGGCUUGUGGGCUCCGUAAUUCCGGCGGGGGGAUUCUCCUGGUGCACCUGGUCGGGCUGAGCAGCAGGGACAGACAUCCUGGAAAACUUGACGAGUUCACUGACGACCUUCUGGUUAAAUUGAUCGACGACGGGACUCUCUUUGUGGACUGCUUCACGAAGCAGUGGCUGGACGAAAAAAAGGAACUUUCAGACUAUUACGAUUUCAUUAGCAUUACUGUGAGGCCAAAGAACCAAAGCGUAGUGACAGCUAACUUUAUGACCAAGAUCCCAUUUGACUCCAAGAUCGAGGACCCCCGGGCGAGUAAUAUCCACGGGUUACUGAGCACUCGUAAAACGUUCCGGCAUAAGGCACCACUGGUACGUGGACGAGGAAGGAAGUACCGAUUGUUACACGAAUCCAGGAACGUACAACACAAGGCCUUCAAGGCGGAGAAGGGGAACGAAAAGAAGCUGCAAUCACUACAAAGAGACAUACCUGCGCUUGUGCAGUACAUCUGGAAAGAUCAAAGACUCCGUGAAUAUAUCACUUCAUUUUCCAAACUUGACAAAGGUGGCUCAUAUUUCUUUGGAGUCGCGGAAGAGAAGCGUGAAUACGGACGCAAAAAAUAUGUUUCCAUAAAGCUUGUUGACCAUGGUAUUAAUUUGUCAAGACGAGAUUUAAAAGCUCUUAAGCACAACUUGAUAGAGAAGGUACAGUCAGAUAUUUUGUGUUGUUCGUACGACGGGGAGACAUUGAAUAUUGAAGCACAUGAUCUCGUCGUCAUUGACCAUCAUCUCACGAAAGACAAAAACUACGUUAUCGAAGUAGCCGUUGGUGCCGUAGAGGGGCUGGUCUUCUAUGAUGCACGGGGGCCCAGCUCCUUUGCGAUCAAAGAAGGGGAAUUAAAGCGGAUUACAUGUUGUGAAUGGUUUAACACCUUCAAAGCACAAGGUUAACUCUCGCAGUUCUGAUACCAACCACUGAAACAGGCAACGACAAUGAAUGUCAAGACCGGAAACAUUUCAAAACGGGGACGCCACCAUCGGAAAGGAAUAGUUUCUUUAAAAGAAAAACUGAAGAGGCAGGUCGGAAAUGUGGUCAAGCUACCAAGUGGGAACAUAUUCGCUAAACCAGCGAAGCAACUGGGCAACUCUCUUGAUGACAUUCAUGUCUUACUUACAAAAGAUAAGCUUGGGAUACACGCUUACCCUUCGUACAUGGCGGAGCUGGUUAAAAGGCACACUGAUUUAGAGAACAUAAUCAAAGAGACGUUCCCCUCUGGAAAGGGUGGAUUAGUCUAUCUCGCAAGAUCACUAGGGGUGUCACUUGACCUCGAUGUUCGAAUGAAACAGCCUGCUGACGUCAUGUUUGACGUAUGCGUCAUCCUGCCACGUGGCGCUCCGAUAGUGUUGAGUGUCAUCCAAGAAGAUUCCAAGAAGAGAAACGCGAUCUCCAGGUACAACAUUUAUGUCACCAAAGCGCUUAUCAGAGCAGUGCGCAAGUUCACAAAUGAGAACUUUAAUGCCCUAUAUGGAGUUGUCACAUACGGUGAUAUAUCAUCAGCAGAAAGGUUUGCGAAAGCAUAUGUGACCAUUGAAAAAGAGUCGUCUUGUUUCUGUAUCCCGGAAUCGCUGUCAAUGUCGGAUGUGAAAUACGUCAGCAUCACCAAAGCGUUCUCUGCCGUGGCGUCCUCUACGAAGGUGGUCCAGAUGUUGAGCUCUGACAAAAGCCACAGUGACAUGACCCAGACGUGGCUACUGACGCAAGAACAGUUUGUUGCGCUGUCAGAAAACAUUGAUAAGGAUGUUGUGACCGUGAAAGCUGACUCGGGAACAGGUGCCACCACUCUGAUGCUGGAGGUGGCCUCUCGCCUGAAUAGGUCGGGCUUCACGCUGCUGGUCUGUUCAUCGCCAGAUCUCUGCAAGAAUGUCAGGAAGCAAAAGUUGUGUUCGCGUGUGAUGGUCGCUGACGCCUUCUGCAAAUACAUGAAACAGCACAACACCCUGCCUGCACAUGUGAAACAUGUGGUCUGUGAGGGAAGCUGGUCACCCAGGUUUGCGUACAGCGGACAUGUAUGGUGCUUCCUCGGCAAGAGAGGUUUGGGAUAUAUAGAGGUUGUUACAAAUCCGGGAAAGAAAAGCUGUCGGUUCAGGAUUGUGCCUCCCCGGAAACACCGCCAUAUUCACCCGACAUGCCGUGUUGAACACUUGAGAUUCUGAACUGAACAUGUUACGCAAGGCCUUAGCAUCAGUCUCAUACAGAGACUAGACGUCUGAACAUAUCCACAUAUCAAGAUACAUUCAGUGCGAUUACACAUCAGAGAUCAUUGUAGUAUUAAUGUGCCAUACGAUUCACAAAACUACAUAACCUGAACGUGCCAUCAUGAAAGGCCAAGUAUGGCUUUGAAGCUUUGUAUACAAAUAAUUAUAGCUAAAAUGGAUAGAAUUAUCAUUAAACCGCCCGCACGUUAUCAGAAAUGA
rnacentral:misc_RNA from 1 species